UNUGGUCUGUAACAGACGCUGAGGCUNGAAAGCGUGGGGAGCGAACAGGAUUAGAUACCCUGGUAGUNCACGCCGUAAACGAUGAGUGCUAGGUGUUAGGCCCUUUCCGGGGCUUAGUGCCGCAGCUAACGCAUUAAGCACUCCGCCUGGGGAGUACGACCGCAAGGUUGAAACUCAAAGGAAUUGACGGGGGCCCGCACAAGCGGUGGAGCAUGUGGUUUAAUUCGAAGCAACGCGAAGAACCUUACCAGGUCUUGACAUCCCGAUGCCCGCUCUAGAGAUAGAGUUUUACUUCGGUACAUCGGUGACAGGUGGUGCAUGGUUGUCGUCAGCUCGCGUCGUGAGAUGUUGGGUUAAGUCCCGCAACGAGCGCAACCCUUAUUGUUAGUUGCCAUCAUUCAGUUGGGCACUCUAGCGAGACUGCCGGUAAUAAACCGGUGGAAGGUGGGGAUGACGUCAAAUCAUCAUGCCCCUUAUGACCUGGGCUACACACGUGCUACAAUGGCUGGUACAACGAGUCGCAAGUCGGUGACGGCAAGCUAAUCUCUUGAAGCCAGUCUCAGUUCGGAUUGUAGGCUGCAACUCGCCUACAUGAAGUCGGAAUCGCUAGUAAUCGCGGAUCAGCACGCCGCGGUGAAUACGUUCCCGGGCCUUGUACACACCGCCCGUCACACCACGAGAGUUUGUAACACCCGAAGUCGGUGAGGUAACCUUUUA
rnacentral:rRNA from 1 species